GCACCGUUAGCUCAGUUGGUAGAGCAGCUGACUCUUAAUCAGCGGGUCGUAGGUUCGAUUCCUAUACGGUGUACCA
rnacentral:tRNA from 1 species